rnacentral:rRNA from 1 species
AGACGGAGGGGGCUAGCGUUGUUCGGAAUUACUGGGCGUAAAGCGCGCGUAGGCGGUUUGGUAAGUUGGGCGUGAAAGCCCGGGGCUCAACCCCGGAACCGCGUCCGAAACUGCCAGACUUCGAGUCCGGGAGAGGGUAGUGGAAUUCCCAGUGUAGAGGUGAAAUUCGUAGAUAUUGGGAAGAACACCAGUGGCGAAGGCGGCUACCUGGUCCGGUACUGACGCUGAGGUGCGAAAGCGUGGGGAGCAAACAGGAUUAGAUACCCCAGUAGUCC